UUUUUAACAUAUAAGCUUAAGAGGACAAAAUUUGAUGGAUCCAGAUCAAUCAAUUCUUAAUCAUACGAAUUAAGGCUAAUGUACCAGAAAUUCAUAGUAAGUAAAGAAAAAAAAUCUUAUAUUUGGCUGAAUUGCCAAAUUUCCACGUAUAUGUACAAUUGAUACAACCACCAAAAAAAAAAAAA